rnacentral:rRNA from 1 species
GUCGCCUCCUAAAAGGUAACGGAGGCGCUCAAAGGUUCCCUCAGAAUGGUUGGAAAUCAUUCAUAGAGUGUAAAGGCAUAAGGGAGCUUGACUGCGAGACCUACAAGUCGAGCAGGGUCGAAAGACGGACUUAGUGAUCCGGUGGUUCCGCAUGGAAGGGCCAUCGCUCAACGGAUAAAAGCUACCCCGGGGAUAACAGGCUUAUCUCCCCCAAGAGUUCACAUCGACGGGGAGGUUUGGCACCUCGAUGUCGGCUCAUCGCAUCCUGGGGCUGUAGUCGGUCCCAAGGGUUGGGCUGUUCGCCCAUUAAAGCGGUACGCGAGCUGGGUUCAGAACGUCGUGAGACAGUUCGGUCCCUAUCCGUCGUGGGCGUAGGAAAUUUGAGAGGAGCUGUCCUUAGUACGAGAGGACCGGGAUGGACAUACCUCUGGUGUACCAGUUGUCGUGCCAACGGCAUAGCUGGGUAGCUAUGUGUGGACGGGAUAAGUGCUGAAAGCAUCUAAGCAUGAAGCCCCCCUCAAGAUGAGAUUUCCCAACUUCGGUUAUAAGAUCCCUCAAAGAU